UUGAGUUUGAUCCUGGCUCAGGACGAACGCUGGCGGCGUGCCUAAUACAUGCAAGUCGAGCGGACAGAUGGGAGCUUGCUCCCUGAUGUUAGCGGCGGACGGGUGAGUAACACGUGGGUAACCUGCCUGUAAGACUGGGAUAACUCCGGGAAACCGGGGCUAAUACCGGAUGGUUGUCUGAACCGCAUGGUUCAGACAUAAAAGGUGGCUUCGGCUACCACUUACAGAUGGACCCGCGGCGCAUUAGCUAGUUGGUGAGGUAACGGCUCACCAAGGCGACGAUGCGUAGCCGACCUGAGAGGGUGAUCGGCCACACUGGGACUGAGACACGGCCCAGACUCCUACGGGAGGCAGCAGUAGGGAAUCUUCCGCAAUGGACGAAAGUCUGACGGAGCAACGCCGCGUGAGUGAUGAAGGUUUUCGGAUCGUAAAGCUCUGUUGUUAGGGAAGAACAAGUACCGUUCAAAUAGGGCGGCACCUUGACGGUACCUAACCAGAAAGCCACGGCUAACUACGUGCCAGCAGCCGCGGUAAUACGUAGGUGGCAAGCGUUGUCCGGAAUUAUUGGGCGUAAAGGGCUCGCAGGCGGUUUCUUAAGUCUGAUGUGAAAGCCCCCGGCUCAACCGGGGAGGGUCAUUGGAAACUGGGGAACUUGAGUGCAGAAGAGGAGAGUGGAAUUCCACGUGUAGCGGUGAAAUGCGUAGAGAUGUGGAGGAACACCAGUGGCGAAGGCGACUCUCUGGUCUGUAACUGACGCUGAGGAGCGAAAGCGUGGGGAGCGAACAGGAUUAGAUACCCUGGUAGUCCACGCCGUAAACGAUGAGUGCUAAGUGUUAGGGGGUUUCCGCCCCUUAGUGCUGCAGCUAACGCAUUAAGCACUCCGCCUGGGGAGUACGGUCGCAAGACUGAAACUCAAAGGAAUUGACGGGGGC
rnacentral:rRNA from 1 species